UACAGAGGGGGCAAGCGUUGUUCGGAAUUACUGGGCGUAAAGGGCGCGUAGGCGGCCUGUUAAGUCGAACGUGAAAUCCCCGGGCUCAACCCGGGAACUGCGUCCGAUACUGGCAGGCUUGAAUUCGGGAGAGGGAUGUGGAAUUCCAGGUGUAGCGGUGAAAUGCGUAGAUAUCUGGAGGAACACUGGUGGCGAAGGCGGCAUCCUGGACCGAUAUUGACGCUGAUGCGCGAAAGCCAGGGGAGCAAACGGG
rnacentral:rRNA from 1 species